GGGGAAUUUUCCGCAAUGGGCAAAAGCCUGACGGAGCAAUACCGCGUGAGGGAUGAAUGCCUGUGGGUUGUAAACCUCUUUUCUUAGGGAAGAAUUUUGACGGUACCUAAGGAAUAAGCAUCGGCUAACUCCGUGCCAGCAGCCGCGGUAAUACGGGGGAUGCAAGCGUUAUCCGGAAUUACUGGGCGUAAAGCGUCUGUAGGUGGCUCAAUAAGUCUGCUCUUAAAUCUUGGGGCUCAACCCUAAACAAGGAGUAGAAACUGUUAAGCUAGAGUAUGGUAUGGGUAGAGGGAAUUCCCAGUGUAGCGGUGAAAUGCGUAGAUAUUGGGAAGAACACCAGUAGCGAAAGCGCUCUAGCUGGGCCAU
rnacentral:rRNA from 1 species